rnacentral:rRNA from 1 species
AACGAACGCUGGCGGCAUGCCUAACACAUGCAAGUCGAACGAGACCUUCGGGUCUAGUGGCGCACGGGUGCGUAACGCGUGGGAACCUGCCCUUAGGUUCGGAAUAACUCCCCGAAAGGGGUGCUAAUACCGGAUAAUGUCUUCGGACCGAAGAUUUAUCGCCUUUGGAUUGGCCCGCGUUGGAUUAGCUAGUUGGUAGGGUAAAAGCCUACCAAGGCGACGAUCCAUAGCUGGUCUGAGAGGAUGAUCAGCCACACUGGGACUGAGACACGGCCCAGACUCCUACGGGAGGCAGCAGUGGGGAAUAUUGGACAAUGGGCGAAAGCCUGAUCCAGCAAUGCCGCGUGAGUGAUGAAGGCCUUAGGGUUGUAAAGCUCUUUUACCCGGGAUGAUAAUGACAGUACCGGGAGAAUAAGCUCCGGCUAACUCCGUG